UUAAGCGACUAAGCGUACACGGUGGAUGCCCUGGCAGUCAGAGGCGAUGAAGGACGUGCUAAUCUGCGAAAAGCGUCGGUAAGGUGAUAUGAACCGUUAUAACCGGCGAUGUCCGAAUGGGGAAACCCAGUGCAAUUCGUUGCACUAUCGUUAACUGAAUACAUAGGUUAACGAGGCGAACCGGGGGAACUGAAACAUCUAAGUACCCCGAGGAAAAGAAAUCAACCGAGAUUCCCCCAGUAGCGGCGAGCGAACGGGGAGCAGCCCAGAGUCUGAAUCAGCUUGUGUGUUAGUGGAACGGUCUGGAAAGUCCGACGGUACAGGGUGAUAGUCCCGUACACCAAAAUGCACAGGUUGUGAACUCGAAGAGUAGGGCGGGACACGUGGUAUCCUGUCUGAAUAUGGGGGGACCAUCCUCCAAGGCUAAAUACUCCUGACUGACCGAUAGUGAACCAGUACCGUGAGGGAAAGGCGAAAAGAACCCCGGCGAGGGGAGUGAAAAAGAACCUGAAACCGUGUACGUACAAGCAGUGGGAGCACCUUCGGGUGUGACUGCGUACCUUUUGUAUAAUGGGUCAGCGACUUAUAUUCUGUAGCAAGGUUAACCGUAUAGGGGAGCCGCAGGGAAACCGAGUCUUAACUGGGCGUUAAGUUGCAGGGUAUAGACCCGAAACCCGGUGAUCUAGCCAUGGGCAGGUUGAAGGUUGGGUAACACUAACUGGAGGACCGAACCGACUAAUGUUGAAAAAUUAGCGGAUGACUUGUGGCUGGGGGUGAAAGGCCAAUCAAACCGGGAGAUAGCUGGUUCUCCCCGAAAGCUAUUUAGGUAGCGCCUCGUGAACUCAUCUUCGGGGUAGAGCACUGUUUCGGCUAGGGGGUCAUCCCGACUUACCAACCCGAUGCAAACUACGAAUACCGAAGAAUGUUAUCACGGGAGACACACGGCGGGUGCUAACGUCCGUCGUGAAGAGGGAAACAACCCAGACCGCCAGCUAAGGUCCCAAAGUCAUGGUUAAGUGGGAAACGAUGUGGGAAGGCACAGACAGCCAGGAUGUUGGCUUAGAAGCAGCCAUCAUUUAAAGAAAGCGUAAUAGCUCACUGGUCGAGUCGGCCUGCGCGGAAGAUGUAACGGGGCUAAACCAUGCACCGAAGCUGCGGCAGCGACACUAUGUGUUGUUGGGUAGGGGAGCGUUCUGUAAGCCUGCGAAGGUGUGCUGUGAGGCAUGCUGGAGGUAUCAGAAGUGCGAAUGCUGACAUAAGUAACGAUAAAGCGGGUGAAAAGCCCGCUCGCCGGAAGACCAAGGGUUCCUGUCCAACGUUAAUCGGGGCAGGGUGAGUCGACCCCUAAGGCGAGGCCGAAAGGCGUAGUCGAUGGGAAACAGGUUAAUAUUCCUGUACUUGGUGUUACUGCGAAGGGGGGACGGAGAAGGCUAUGUUAGCCGGGCGACGGUUGUCCCGGUUUAAGCAUGUAGGCUGGUUAUCCAGGCAAAUCCGGAUAAUCAAGGCUGAGGUGUGAUGACGAGGCACUACGGUGCUGAAGUAACAAAUGCCCUGCUUCCAGGAAAAGCCUCUAAGCAUCAGGUAACAUCAAAUCGUACCCCAAACCGACACAGGUGGUCAGGUAGAGAAUACCAAGGCGCUUGAGAGAACUCGGGUGAAGGAACUAGGCAAAAUGGUGCCGUAACUUCGGGAGAAGGCACGCUGGUGUGUAGGUGAAGCCCCUGCGGGUGGAGCUGAGACCAGUCGAAGAUACCAGCUGGCUGCAACUGUUUAUUAAAAACACAGCACUGUGCAAACACGAAAGUGGACGUAUACGGUGUGACGCCUGCCCGGUGCCGGAAGGUUAAUUGAUGGGGUUAUCCGUAAGGAGAAGCUCUUGAUCGAAGCCCCGGUAAACGGCGGCCGUAACUAUAACGGUCCUAAGGUAGCGAAAUUCCUUGUCGGGUAAGUUCCGACCUGCACGAAUGGCGUAAUGAUGGCCAGGCUGUCUCCACCCGAGACUCAGUGAAAUUGAACUCGCUGUGAAGAUGCAGUGUACCCGCGGCAAGACGGAAAGACCCCGUGAACCUUUACUAUAGCUUGACACUGAACAUUGAGCCUUGAUGUGUAGGAUAGGUGGGAGGCUUUGAAGCGUGGACGCCAGUCUGCGUGGAGCCAACCUUGAAAUACCACCCUUUAAUGUUUGAUGUUCUAACGUUGGCCCCUUAUCGGGGUUGCGGACAGUGUCUGGUGGGUAGUUUGACUGGGGCGGUCUCCUCCCAAAGCGUAACGGAGGAGCACGAAGGUUAGCUAAUCCUGGUCGGACAUCAGGAGGUUAGUGCAAUGGCAUAAGCUAGCUUGACUGCGAGCGUGACGGCGCGAGCAGGUGCGAAAGCAGGUCAUAGUGAUCCGGUGGUUCUGAAUGGAAGGGCCAUCGCUCAACGGAUAAAAGGUACUCCGGGGAUAACAGGCUGAUACCGCCCAAGAGUUCAUAUCGACGGCGGUGUUUGGCACCUCGAUGUCGGCUCAUCACAUCCUGGGGCUGAAGUAGGUCCCAAGGGUAUGGCUGUUCGCCAUUUAAAGUGGUACGCGAGCUGGGUUUAGAACGUCGUGAGACAGUUCGGUCCCUAUCUGCCGUGGGCGCUGGAGAAUUGAGGGGGGCUGCUCCUAGUACGAGAGGACCGGAGUGGACGCAUCACUGGUGUUCGGGUUGUCAUGCCAAUGGCACUGCCCGGUAGCUAAAUGCGGAAGAGAUAAGUGCUGAAAGCAUCUAAGCACGAAACUUGCCCCGAGAUGAGUUCUCCCUGAGACUAUAAGUCUCCUGAAGGAACGUUAAAGACGAUGACGUUGAUAGGCCGGGUGUGUAAGCGCAGCGAUGCGUUGAGCUAACCGGUACUAAUGAACCGUGAGGCUUAACCUU
rnacentral:rRNA from 1 species